CAACCUAGAAAUUUCAUUCCCUUAUAUUCUAAGUCAUAAUAGCAAGAGUAGAGGAAUCCUUAACUUAGAAAGAUUAAAAGAAGUAAAGAUCAAGAGGUAAGUAACACUUCAACUGCAAUGUAAGGACAAAAUUAUUUUUAUACUUAAGUUCAAUUUUAACAAUCCCUUUAUAUUAUGAUGGCUAUUAUAGUGUGAUUAGUUAUAUUUCUAAAUUGUUAGAUUGUCGGCUCUGCCGCCUACUAUGUGAUGUUAUGGUCGGCUCUGCCGCCUAAUAUGUGAUGUCAUGGUCGGCUCUGCCGCCUAAUAUGUGAUGAUAUGAUCGGCACUGCUGCCUAAUAUGUGAUGCUAUGGUCGGCUCUGCCGCAUAUACUAAAGACUCUUGUUUUUAAAUAAUGUUGUGUGUUGAUUUUGUUAUGCAUCGAGGAAUUUCAAAAGUUAUCAGUUGCAUUGGAUGCAUGCAUAUCAUGGACAAAAUUAUGAAGAAGACGUUUCAGAAAACGAAUUUAUGAAAAAUAGGAGGUUGUACUACCAGGUGGCAAAGUUCUAAGGAGGACAAGCCCUCAAAGCUAAGUUGAAAGAAAUCUUUUGGGGACGGCGAUACGUAACGCCCAAAAGAUCAACUAAUGAGGCCCAAGGACAUAUUAUUUAGAGAGUAAAAGUGCCAGUCUUGUAGUGCAACAUACCUAGGGCCCAAACAAAAUUGUUUGUAUUUUCUAAGUUUAUUUUAAGAGCUUAAUAUGGUCAUCCAUACGCAUCAUAAUUUAUACAUGCAUCAAAGUAUUAUCUUACUGGGCAUUAGCUCACUAAGUCCUUACAUUGCAGGUAAUGAUGAGUAAGGCAAGCUGGCGCCAAGUCCUAACUAAGACGAAGUGCAUAUGGGCAUAAUCGACCUUGGGAUUUUAUGAUGGGCUCAGCUUUGUGUUAAUAAAAAUAAGUAUCUUAGCUUUAUGUAAUAAUUAAGUUUUUAAAUAAACUAAGAAAUCUCUAUAUGGCUCUUAGUUUUAUGUAAUAAAGUUUUGUUGGAUUGUGCUAAAGUUUUAGAAUUCGUAAUUAUAUUAAAAGUAACUGUGUUUUAAGCAUUUUUUUAAGUAAAUAAUAUAGUGGAGUGUUACAG
rnacentral:lncRNA from 1 species